rnacentral:rRNA from 1 species
UGAGUGCGAGCUGCUACGGCAGCGAAGUUGGUGAUGUCAAGCUUCCAAGAAAAGCCCUAUACCCGUUAAGGCAUCAUGGCCUGUACCCGAAACCGACACAGGUGAGGUGGUAGAGAAUACCGAGGGGCGCGAGGUAACUCUCUCUAAGGAACUCGGCAAAAUGGCCCCGUAACUUCGGGAGAAGGGGUGCCAGCGAGAGCUGGUCGCAGUGAAGAGGCCCAGGCGACUGUUUACCAAAAACACAGGUCUCCGCUAAGUCGCAAGACGAUGUAUGGGGGCUGACGCCUGCCCAGUGCCGGAAGGUUAAGGAAGUUGGUCAGCGAAAGCGAAGCUAGCGACUGAAGCCCCGGUGAACGGCGGCCGUAACUAUAACGGUCCUAAGGUAGCGAAAUUCCUUGUCGGGUAAGUUCCGACCCGCACGAAAGGCGUAACGAUCUGGGCGCUGUCUCGGAGAGAGGCUCGGCGAAAUAGAAUUGUCUGUGAAGAUGCGGACUACGUGCACCCGGACAGAAAGACCCUAUGAAGCUUUACUGUAGCUUGGUAUUGUGCUCGGGCUCGGAAUGCGCAGGAUAGGUGGGAGGCAGAGAACCAUUGCUUGCGGGUGAUGGUGAGCCACUGGUGAGAUACCACUCUUUCCGAGCUAGAGUUCUAACAGCCACCCGUUAUCCGGGGGCUGGACAGUAUCAGGUGGGCAGUUUGACUGGGGCGGUCGCCUCCUAAAAGGUAACGGAGGCGUGCAAAGGUUCCCUCAGGCUGGUUGGAAAUCAGCCGACGAGUGCAAAGGCAGAAGGGAGCUUGACUGUGAGACCUACAAGUCGAACAGGGACGAAAGUCGGCCUUAGUGAUCCGACGGUUCUGCGUGGAAGGGCCGUCGCUCAACGGAUAAAAGUUACUCUAGGAUAACAGGCUGAUCUCCCCCAAGAGUUCACAUCGACGGGGAGGUUUGGCACCUCGAUGUCGGCUCAUCGCAACCUGGGGCUGAAGUCGGUCCCAAGGGUUGGGCUGUUCGCCCAUUAAAGCGGUACGCGAGCUGGGUUCAGAACGUCGUGAGACAGUUCGGUCCAUAUCCGGUGCACGCGCAGGAAUAUUGAGAGGAUUUCUCCCUAGUACGAGAGGACCGGGAGGAACGCACCUCUGGUGUGCCAGUUAUCGUGCCAACGGUAAACGCUGGGUAGCCAUGUGCGGAGGAGAUAACCGCUGAAAGCAUCUAAGUGGGAAGCCCACCUCAAGAUGAGUAUUCCCAUGGGGUAACCCAGUAAGGUCACGGGAAGAUUACCCGUUGAUAGGCUCUACGUGGAAGCGCAGUAAUGCGUGAAGCGGAGGAGUACUAAUAGACCGAGGGCUUGACC